UCCGGCAUGGUGUAGCGGUUAACAUUCGGGAUUCUCAUUCCCGAGCCCGGGGUUCGACUCCCCGUGCCGGAA